CUAGAUAGGAAGAAUUGUAUUAACACUUAAAAAUUGGAUUUUGUCCAUUCAUUUGUUAUAAGAAAAACUAACGAAAAAUCCUGAAAAACUUUAGUUUUUAAUUAAAAUGACAAAAUAAAGGUGUAAGUAAAUAGUACCAGAAGUGACUUUUCAAGAUAAAAAUGUUCUCAACGUUAAAAGUGAACAGUACCGAGAAUAUUUCAUUAAGAUUCCCUUUGUUAUAACUCUAUAUAUACAUGACACAUCACACGUUUUUAGCUUCAAGGAUUAGAAUUCCUUGAAAAAUAUAUAUUAAAAACGCCAACUUACAUUUAGUUCGUGAAACAAAGAAUCUUCAGGACCCAUUUUUUAUUGCAAAGACACAUGAUGAACAUAAAAUGGGUGGACUAGUGUGCACAUUACCGAAUAUUAUUUUAUUUUUUUCAACGAACAAUAUUAUUUACAUUAAAAGGGAGCAAGUGAGUUUAGUUUCACGAUGGGCUAGCAAUAAUGUGGUUCAAAUUCGCUUUUGGCGAGAAUCGAACCUAAGAUCUCUCACUUAUAAGUGAAGAAAAAUACCACUAGACCGUAAUACUAAAUGGCACAUUACCUAAUAUUAAAAGCACGAAUAAUUUCUAUGAACUUAUGAAACCUUUCACAAAGGAGUUCGUUAUUUGCAACCAAAUAUUAAUUUACCAACUAGCAGAUAAAAGAAAAUUCAAGCCCGAUUUUAUUGCAACUUGAAUAAAUAUGGAGUAUGGACAUUCAACUUUACAAUUUUUUACAUAAGUGAUAUCUUUCUUUUUUUUUUCAACGAAACAUAUAAAAUCCAAGAGUUGACAUUCAACUUUACAAAUAUAUAUGUAUAUACGUGUUGACCCUAAAAACUACCAAGCCUACGUGACGCGCAGGCCGAGCAAUCUAUGAGCUAACUACGUCAUUCGGUUGAAUACGGGGCGUGCCAACUCGUCGGCCGAGUUCGGCCGAGGAGUAAAAUGUGUUGAUAUUGUGUUGGGUGGACGGCUGACUUCUGUGUCUUGCGAUUGCGACCGAGGAAGGAACAUAUCUCGGCUUCUUGGGUUCUCGAACCUGGAGACAAGGCUACUAUUCUUACAAAGUUCACAAAUCGCCGUCGUUGGAUUCAGUCACAGUGAUGGUAUUCGUCAGAGUAAACUCACGCCAAAUCGACACCAAAGUGUAAGGGCACAAAUACUC
rnacentral:lncRNA from 1 species